AACGCUGGCGGCGUGCCUAAUACAUGCAAGUCGAACGGAAACCUUCGGGUUUUAGUGGCGAACGGGUGAGUAACACGUAAGCAACCUGCCUUUAAGACGAGGAUAACAAUUGGAAACGGUUGCUAAGACUGGAUAGGAAAUUAAAAGGCAUCUUUUAAUUUUUAAAAGACCUUUUUCGGAAGGUAUGCUUAAAGAGGGGCUUGCGCCACAUUAGUUAGUUGGUAAGGUAAAGGCUUACCAAGACGAUGAUGUGUAGCUGGACUGAGAGGUUGAACAGCCACAUUGGGACUGAGACACGGCCCAAACUCCUACGGGAGGCAGCAGUAAGGAAUUUUUGGCAAUGGAGGAAACUCUGACCGAGCAACGCCGCGUGAACAAUGAAGUACUUCGGUAUGUAAAGUUCUUUUAUUGAAAAAGAAAAAAUAGUGGAAAAACUAUCUUGACGCUAUUCGAUGAAUAAGCCCCGGCUAAUUAUGUGCCAGCAGCCGCGGUAAUACAUAAGGGGCGAGCGUUAUCCGGAAUUAUUGGGCGUAAAGGGUGCGUAGGCGGUUUGAUAAGUCUGUAGUUUAAAUUCAGUGCUUAACGCUGUACCGCUAUAGAAACUGUCUGACUAGAGUUAGAUAGAGGCAAGCGGAAUUCCAUGUGUAGCGGUAAAAUGCGUAAAUAUAUGGAGGAACACCAGAGGCGUAGGCGGCUUGCUGGGUCUUAACUGACGCUGAGGCACGAAAGCGUGGGGAGCAAACAGGAUUAGAUACCCUGGUAGUCCACGCCGUAAACGAUGAGUACUAAGUGUCGGGUUUUGGCCCUUGGUACUGAAGUUAACACAUUAAGUACUCCGCCUGAGUAGUACGUACGCAAGUAUGAAACUUAAAGGAAUUGACGGGACCCCGCACAAGCGGUGGAUCAUGUUGUUUAAUUCGAAGAUACACGAAAAACCUUACCAGGCCUUGACAUAAUUUUGCGACAUUAUAGAAAUAUAAUGAAGGUUAUCAGAAUUACAGGUGGUGCAUGGUUGUCGUCAGCUCGUGUCGUGAGAUGUUAGGUUAAGUCCUAAAACGAGCGCAACCCUUGUCGUUAGUUGCGACCACGUAAUGGUGAGCACUUUAGCGAGACUGCCAAUGAAAAAUUGGAGGAAGGUGAGGAUUACGUCAAAUCAUCAUGCCCCUUAUGAUCUGGGCUACAAACGUGAUACAAUGGCUUUUACAAAGAGUAGCUACAACGUGAGUUUUUAGCCAAUCUCAAAAAAACAGUCUCAGUUCGGAUUGAAGUCUGCAACUCGACUUCAUGAAGUUGGAAUCGCUAGUAAUCGCGAAUCAGCAUGUCGCGGUGAAUACGUUCUCGGGGUUUGUACACACCGCCCGUCAAAC
rnacentral:rRNA from 1 species